rnacentral:rRNA from 1 species
AUUGAACGCUGGCGGCAGGCUUAACACAUGCAAGUCGAGCGAGCGGCAGACGGGUGUAUUGUGUCUGGGAACUUGCCUGAUGGUGGGGGAUAACUAUUGGAACCGGUAGAUAAUACAGCAUUCUAUCAGUUGUGCCUAGAGUGGACUAGCUAGUAGGUGGGGUAAUGGGUCACCUAGGCGACGAUCCCUAGCUGGUCUGAGGGGAUGACCGGCCACACUGGGACUGAGACACGGUCCAGACUCCUACGGGAGGCAGCAGUGGGGAAUAUUGCACAAUGGGCGCAAGCCUGAUGCAGCCAUGCCGCGUGUGUGAAGAAGGCCUUCGGGUUGUAAAGCACUUUCAGCGGGGAGGCGUUACUCGCAGAAGAAGCACCGGCUAACUCCGUGCCAGCAGCCGCGGUAAUUC